UCAAUAAAGAUGAUUGGUGUUCUUAUAAAUC
rnacentral:piRNA from 1 species